rnacentral:rRNA from 1 species
UACGUAGGGGGCGAACGUUGUCCGGAUUUAUUGGGCGUAAAGAGCGUGUAGGCGGCCAGGUAGGUCUGCUGUGAAAACUCGAGGCUCAACCUCGAGACGUCGGCGGAAACCAUCUGGCUAGAGUCCGGAAGAGGAGAGUGGAAUUCCUGGUGUAGCGGUGAAAUGCGCAGAUAUCAGGAAGAACACCCGUGGCGAAGGCGGCUCUCUGGGACGGUACUGACGCUGAGACGCGAAAGCGUGGGGAGCGAACAGG